GGCGCGGUGGUCGAGUGGUUAGACAUGGGUCUGCAAAACCUAUCACAGGGGUUCGAGUCCCCUCCGCGCCUCCA
rnacentral:tRNA from 1 species